rnacentral:rRNA from 1 species
UACAGAGGUCUCAAGCGUUGUUCGGAUUCAUUGGGCGUAAAGGGUGCGUAGGCGGCUCGGUCAGUCGGGUGUGAAAUCCCUGGGCUCAACCUGGGAACUGCAUUCGAUACUGCCGAGCUAGAGUGUGGGAGAGGGUGGUGGAAUUCCCGGUGUAGCGGUGAAAUGCGUAGAUAUCGGGAGGAACAUCAGUGGCGAAGGCGACCGCCUGGCCCAACACUGACGCUGAGGUGCGAAAGCGUGGGUAGCAAACAGG